AGCUCCAAUAGCGUAUACUAAAUUUGCUGCAGUUAAAACGCUCGUAGUUGAAUUGAGAUUUGUCAAAAAAGAUCAAAACAAUUUUUGAACUUUUUUUACAAUUCCCUUUUAAGAUUCUGUGACUGGUAUUAAUUUAUUGGUUUCAUCAAUCUUAAACCUUUACUGUGAAUAAACUAGAGUGUUCAAAGCAGGCAAUUUGUCAUUGACAAAGAAUAGCCUGAAUACGUUAGCAUGGAAUAAUAAGAUAAGACCAUGGUUUGAGGUCUUCGGAUUUCAUACUUGUCUUGUUGGUUUGCUGCUAACCAUGGUAAUGAUUAAUAGGGACAGUUGGGGGUAUUCGUAUUCCAUAGUCAGAGGUGAAAUUCUUGGAUUUAUGGAAGACGAACUACUGCGAAAGCAU
rnacentral:rRNA from 1 species